UACAGAGGUCUCAAGCGUUGUUCGGAUUCAUUGGGCGUAAAGGGUGCGUAGGUGGCGCGCUAAGUCAGGUGUGAAAUUUCGGAGCUUAACUCCGAAACUGCAUUUGAUACUGGCGUGCUUUGAGGACUGGAGAGGAGACUGGAAUUCAUGGUGUAGCAGUGAAAAUGCGUAGAGAUCAUGAGGAAGACCAGUGGCGAAAGGCGGGGUCUCUGGACAGUUCCUGACACUGAGGCACGAAGGCCAGGGGGAGCAAAACGGGG
rnacentral:rRNA from 1 species